rnacentral:rRNA from 1 species
GAUGAACGCUGGCGGCGUGCUUAACACAUGCAAGUCGAACGAGAAGUGGAGACGGAAACCUUCGGGCGGAAGACUUUACUUCGAGUGGCGGACGGGUGAGUAACGCGUGGGUAACCUGCCUCAUACAGGGGGAUAACAGUUGGAAACGACUGUUAAUACCGCAUAAGACCACAGCACCGCAUGGUGCGGGGGUAAAAACUCCGGUGGUAUGAGAUGGACCCGCGUUCGAUUAGCCAGUUGGCGGGGUAACGGCCCACCAAAGCGACGAUCGAUAGCCGAUCUGAGAGGAUGACCGGCCACAGUGGGACUGAGACACGGCCCAAACUCCUACGGGAGGCAGCAGUGGGGAAUAUUGCACAAUGGGGGAAACCCUGAUGCAGCGACGCCGCGUGAGUGAAGAAGUAUUUCGGUAUGUAAAGCUCUAUCAGCAGGGAAGAAAAUGACAGUACCUGAGUAAGAAGCCCCGGCUAACUACGUG